rnacentral:Y_RNA from 1 species
GCCUGGUCCAAGUGCCGUGGUGUUUGUAACUAAUUGAUCACAACCAGUACAGAUUCCUUUGUUCCUUCUCCUCUCCCACUGCUUCACUUGACCACCCUUAA